AACAUAUCAAAAGAAAAAACAAACAACCUGAUGUAUUGAACAAAUAUGACGUAGAGCAACAACAGAAAACCACUGAACUACUGACUUCUUGAUUGACAAUAAAACAAAUAGAAUGGGUUUAACAAGGUUGUGAGGGCUCAACCCUCUCUCUUACCAGAGACCAAUUAUUCAACAGCACAAUAUAGAAAAAACUGAAGAGUCCAUUGGAUAUGAUUUGACCUUUGUCAGAUCAUCAAGAAGCACAAAAAA
rnacentral:lncRNA from 1 species